UACGUAGGGGGCAAGCGUUGUCCGGAAUCAUUGGGCGUAAAGCGCGCGUAGGCGGCCCGGUAAGUCCGUUGUGAAAGUCAAAGGCUCAACCUUUGAACGCCGAUGGAUACUGCCGGGCUAGAGUCCGGAAGAGGCGAGUGGAAUUCCCGGUGUAGCGGUGAAAUGCGCAGAUAUCGGGAGGAACACCUAUGGCGAAGGCAGCUCGCUGGGACGUUACUGACGCUGAGACGCGAAAGCGUGGGGAGCAAACAGG
rnacentral:rRNA from 1 species